rnacentral:rRNA from 3 species
GAUAGCUUGCUAUCAAUGCUGACGAGCGGCGGACGGGUGAGUAAUGCCUGGGAAUAUGCCCUGAUGUGGGGGAUAACUAUUGGAAACGAUAGCUAAUACCGCAUAAUCUCUUCGGAGCAAAGAGGGGGACCUUCGGGCCUCUCGCGUCAGGAUUAGCCCAGGUGGGAUUAGCUUGUUGGUGGGGUAAUGGCUCACCAAGGCAACGAUCCCUAGCUGGUCUGAGAGGAUGAUCAGCCACACUGGAACUGAGACACGGUCCAGACUCCUACGGGAGGCAGCAGUGGGGAAUAUUGCACAAUGGGGGAAACCCUGAUGCAGCCAUGCCGCGUGUAUGAAGAAGGCCUUCGGGUUGUAAAGUACUUUCAGUUGUGAGGAAGGCGUUGAUGUUAAUAGCUUCAGCGUUUGACGUUAGCAACAGAAGAAGCACCGGCUAACUCCGUGCCAGCAGCCGCGGUAAUACGGAGGGUGCGAGCGUUAAUCGGAAUUACUGGGCGUAAAGCGCAUGCAGGU